GAAAGACUGGUCAGGUGGCCACUUUCUGGCAAAGGAAGGAAAAGCAAAGGAAUAAAAGACUGCUUGGAGGAAAAAAAAGUGCCCACUCUGGAAGCUGCAUGAGAUCUGCAGCUGGGAUGCAGAAAACAAUAGAAUGAUACAGCAAGAGCAAGAAGGGAAAUCCUGCCAGAAACUAUAUGAGAGCCCUGAUGUGAACUUUGGUAGUGGGGAUUUCCCUUCACAGGCUCCAGUGGAACCUUCCUUGGAGGAGGAUUGUCUCUGACAGCUCUGGCACCACGUCUAUACUGUCCCUGUGACUUGAGCCAGCCCGUUGACACCAUCUUCACGCUCUCCCUCUGCCAUACUCCAGAGCACCAGUAUCUCCCCGAGGGGAGCUUUUACAUCUGGAUUUACCUCAAGGAGGCAGUUCAAGAUAGUGAUGGAAGAAUAUCCUGAACUCACUUCUCAUGGACACACUGCAUCUGUAACUACACAUGGAACAAUUUCUGCUAAAAAAAUUAUGAAAACAAGCUGAGCAAUUCCUUCACACCAAGCAAACAAGAAAAAAGCCACAUCGAAGUUGGUGGAGAGGCUGAGAUGCAGUCUCUCCAUAAACCUCACUCCUGGCACAGUGAUCCACAAUUGGGAGGAAACAGAAACUCGGAGCUUCUUCCUGAGGAGCAGUGGUCAUACCCCACAUUAGGCACCCUGACUUUUAAGACCUGCACCUGAGACACAAACCCUCAAAAUACCUGGCUUUGAAAACUACUGGGGCUUGGGUUCACGAAACCCAACGGACCAUAGAACUGAGAAAGGGCUCCUAAAGUAGCCAGUCAGACUCACUCAGCCCAGGGCCCAGCACAGAAGCAACUGUUUGACAAGCAUCAAGACUUUGGAAGAGAUUCAUCUGCUAAUCCUAAAGCCAAGAACAUACAACUGGGAAAGGACACUGUCUUCAAUAAAUAGUAUGAAACUGUAUUUCUGUCCUACACCAUAUACAUAAAGCAACUGAAAAUGGAUUAUAGACUUGAAUGUUAAGACCUGAAACCAUAAAACUCUUAGAAGAAAACGUAGGCAGUAAGCUCCUUGUCAUCAGUCUUUGCAAUGAUUUUUUGGAUUUGACACCAAAAGCAAAGGCAACAAGAGCAAAAAUAAACAAGUGUCUAUAUCAAACGAAAGUGCUUCGGCAAGCAAAGGAACCUAUAAACAAAAUGAAAAGGCAGCCUAUUGAAUGGGAGAAAAUAUUUACAGAUGUAUCUUACAAUACAAAAUAUAUAAAGAACUUGUACAACUCAAUAGCAAAAAACCCCAGACAAUCCAAUUAAAAAACGGACAGAGGAUCUGCAUAGACAUUUUUCCGAAGAAGAUAUACAGAUGGCCAACGGGUACAAAAAAUAUACUCACCAGUACUAAUCAUCAGGGAAAUGC